AAAGAACAUAAUUUGAUCGUCUGAAGAAUUAAGUAUAUUUUCGUUUAGAAGAUCGUCCUAAGAUUUCAGCAGCGAUGGAAACGUAGAAUCAGAUUUUUGCAACAUUUAUAGCCUUCUGGAUUGAUUUUAUAUGUCACUGCAUGAGGAUUCCGUAGAAGUCAGAUGACCCCCCCCCCCAAUGUGAAGAUAGCCAAGCCUUCACUGAUAAGUAACUGACACCCUUCACUUGCACUCCCAGCCAGCUAUGAUCAGCUUCCUUAAACGACCCAGUAUAAACCACUGUAGUAGCUCAGUAUCGCCUUACCGCUUCAAAACCGCAAAACACAGGAAUUAUCCUCAGAUGUCCUUUCUUCGAGAAAAGAAAUCUUGGAGCACCUGAUUCCUUUCUUAGUGAAAUUUGAAAAUUUACUUGAACUACCAAAAAAGGGACGAAUACUUUCUAAUAUUUUCCUUCCGUACAGACUGAAUCUUCAUAAUUCUGAAUCUGAAUCUUCAUAAAUCUCUUUUUCAUCUCAUCGACAUCACCUGGCUUGCGCUCUAUUUUCCUUUGGUCAUUGAACUUAAGUGCUUCCUGGGCCUCAAAGUUUUCACUCAUUCUUAAUUUUACAUCAAGAAUAUUCCAUUGUGUAUAUCGGUUAAAAACUGCGCACAUUACCUGAGCAUGAUCAUGUAUUCACACUAUCUUGAAACAAAUCCUAUUAAACUAAUCCGAGAUCAGUUUCUGUUUUCAAGCACUAAAGAGGAAUGCAGAG